ensembl:lncRNA
GUGUUGUUAUGUUCUUUAAAUGCCAUUUAUUUUUCAUACAAACAAAACAAUCACAACACAGAAUACAAAAUAAAAUCAUUCAACAUGUUAUGACUCCAUAUAAAGAUGUAUGUUUAAUAUAAAUACAUUACUUAAAAUAUUAACAUCCUCUACGAAAACUGACUGCAAUGUGAAGGAAAUCACCUCAGUGUGUUUCUGGAAGAAAAUCAUCAACAAACUGAGGUCGUAUCAUACCCAUGCUUCUAAAAUAACCAGACUGGUUAUGAUACAGCCCCAGCUUUGAUGAUGGAUCAAUACGUAUCAGGUUAAUUGAUUAUCAGGUUUAUAUCAGCAAUGCAUCCUCCCCGGCUCCAACACAGAUUAUUGAUUAUCAGGUUAAUAUCAGCAGUGCAUCAGCCCGGGCUCCGACAGGGAUUAUUGAUUAUCAGGUUUAUAUCAGGAGUUUAUCCUCCUUGUCUUGUCAGAGUUUCAGAGAGAAAAACAAGUUGUUGUUAAGAGGGAAGUAGGUGAGGAGAUUUCACAUCAUAAUAAAAUAACUGGUACUAAAGAAGUCGUACAUUUAGACUGUAGAACUUACCUCGAAAACCACGGCCUGAUGAGAAGGAAACAUUUGUCUAUAAUCUCAAAAAGUCACAAUCUGAACGAGACAAAAACCUGAACAACAGAGUGAGCAAAUUAGCACAUGUUAACUCAGGUGUUUGUGUGUGUGUAGAGGGGGGGGGGGUUCUACUACUUCAUCUCCUACUUAGACCAAGACCAUAACCAGUAAUGAUGAAGACCAGAACCAAUUCCAAGACCGAAACCAGAAGGGAUGAAGACUAAAAAAGCCUCCAAGACUAUGAGGUGAUGAAGACCAGAACAGCCUCCAAGACCAAUACCAGAGGUGAUGAAGGCCAGAACAGCCUCCAAGACUAUGAAGGGAUGAAGACCAGAAUAGAUUCCAAGAUCAGAACCAGAAAUGAUGAAGACCAGAGCAGCCUCCAAGACUAUGAAGUGAUGAACACCAGAACAGACUCCAAGACCAGAACCAGAAAUGAUGAAGACCAGAGCAGCCUCCAAGACUAUGAAGUGAUGAACACCAGAACAGACUCCAAGACCAGAACCAGAAAUGAUGAAGACCAGAACAGCCUCAAAGACUAUGAGGUGAUGAAGACCAGACCAGAUUCCAAGACCAGAACCAGAAGUGCUGAAGACCAGAACAGCCUCCAAGACUAGAUGAAGGAAUGAAGACCAGAACAACCUCCAACACAAGAUGAA